GAUGAACGCUGGCGGCGUGCCUAAUACAUGCAAGUCGAGCGAACAGACGAGGAGCUUGCUCCUCUGACGUUAGCGGCGGACGUGUGAGUAACACGUGGAUAACCUACCGAUAAGACUGGGAUAACGUCGGGAAACCUGAGCUAAUACCGUAUAAUAUAUUGAACCGCAUGGUUCAAUAGUGAAAGACGGUUUUGCUGUCACUUAUAGAUGGAUCCGCGCCGCAUUAGCUAGUUGGUAAGGUAACGGCUUACCAAGGCAACGAUGCGUAGCCGACCUGAGAGGGUGAUCGGCCACACUGGAACUGAGACACGGUCCAGACUCCUCCGGGAGGCAGCAGUAGGGAAUCUUCCGCAAUGGGCGAAAGCUUGACGGAGCAACGCCGCGUGAGUGAUGAAGGUCUUCGGAUCGUAAAACUCUGUUAUUAGGGAAGAACAAAUGUGUAAGUAACUAUGCACGUCUUGACGGUACCUAAUCAGAAAGCCACGGCUAACUACGUG
rnacentral:rRNA from 1 species